UGAAGGUUCAUGCCAAUGAUGUGGGUGGGAACAAGAAAGGAUCUUUUGAGUCUUGGAGGUUGAGCAGACAGCUUCCCCCGCCACCCCCCCCCCCCGGACCAAGACUUGGGGCAGCUGGCCACGCCACAGUAGGCCAGCCCAAGGCUGGAUUACAGGUGUGUACCAUCAUAGUCAGCUCAUUCUAGGGGCUAGAGGCAUAUCAGUGCUCUUGUGUCCUCUGCCACCCUAUGCUCCGUGAUCAAGAAACUCCUGCUGGGCAAGUCAUCACCUCACCACGCAGACGCUCAAAGUAAUACCAGGUAAGACCUCUUGCCGAUGGGCCUCAGGACAGGUGCAGGCAGGUGAGUGGGUCAUGCAAGCCCCUCCCCUUCUGGUGCCACUGGGCUGCCUGGCCUCUUGGCCUCCUCCUUUCAGCCCAAGACUUUGGCCAGGGAUAUCCCUGCUGCUACAGGAGAUGGGCAUACCAGAGUGGAGGGAUUGAGUUGGAUAUGACAGGUAGCAGGACAAGCAGCUCUCUGGACAGGCUGAUGCCAGUCCUCGCUCCAACCACGGAGGCUUGAAGGAAUCCACUCCAGCAGCUGUCAGGGUUGUGGAGUACUGCAAGCAGGCAGGCAAAAGAGGCGACAUCACAG
rnacentral:lncRNA from 1 species